ACAAAGCCGGAGAGUAAAAAGCGGGGAGAGAGAGAGAGGGGAGACGCAGCAGGACCGUCGAGCACCGUCCUCUGUUGUUCAUCGUCCUCCACCGUCAUCUGCCAUUGUUGUUCGCCGGAACAAAACCAAGAGAGAAGAAGAAAUCUCUUGAGAAGAACGUCCGUCCUCACCCAUUGUUGUCCACCGGAACUCCCCACGCCAUAGAUUGAACCAGGAACUCUAUGAAGAACUACAGAGAGAGGACUGUAGAGGAUCCGGAUGCGUUUCGAAAACUCCGGCGUUUUGAAAAUAUGGCGUCCCUAAAAAUCGAACCGUUGUGUCGUUUAGCCAAGGGGACAAGCACCUCAUCACCACUAUAUAUACAUGUCCACAAUCAUUGGCCCAUCAUAUCUGGUACAACGUAGUACGACUUGUCCGACCAAUCCACAUAACAAAACCGUUGUCGGACAACCGCACGUUUGUUUUCGAGUUCCAAACUAGAUACAAAGAAGAGUAGGGGGUGGGAAAAUGAGUAGGAGGGGAGAGCAGCAUGGAUGCGGAGUCGAACAAGUGACGUUGAUACUGGUGGUGGCGGUUUGCCUCAUCUUUCUUCCUUUGGGGAUGGGUCCGGGGCCGUUGGGCCCCCCGCCAUUGUACGUGCUCCUCCUCUUCCCUGUGGUGGCCGCUGUCAUCUUCAUUUUCCUUUCUCAAGCCCCCAAGUGAUCCUCUCAUUAUGUUAUUACUGUAUGUUAGUUUACAUAUAUAACACAUUGUUUUAUUGUUUUGAUCUUCGAUUUUGUUUUUGGAUUGGAGAAUGGCCCGUGUACUGUAGUUCUUGUUUGGAGAUUAUAUGUAUCUAAUACACAGACACAUUUCCUAAGAAAUAUAUAUAUUUUUUGUCUUUGAA